GGGCAUUGAGGAAGACGGAUGCAUUGAGAACAAGGGCUGAGGAAUCUCUCUAAAUGAUGAAUCUGUGAAGUGAAAUAUGUCUUUCUCCAGGGCUGUUUCAGGAAUCAACUAGCAGAAGUCUCUUGUGAAGCAAGUGGCCAUCACCUUUGUUCCCUUUCCCUGAGACCUGGGGACCCUGGCUGAUUAUGUAGAGAAAUGGCACUGGAGCACAGGCGUGUCUCAGCCAGCCUGCAAAGCCACAAUGUUGUCCUGACUUGGGAAUCAGAUGGAGCACAUGACACAGCAGUGGGCUCUGCUGGGAGUGUCACUGCCAGACUAAAGGGAAGAUGGGAUUUGGAUUCCUGCACUUCACAUACAACGGGAUGGUUCCCUGGUAUCCAGCCACAUCGUUCCAGAACAUGCAACUGAUUUUUAUUUGCAAUAAAUAAAUGUAAAAAGGAAAUUUCAAUAAAAGUU